CGAGUGGCGGACGGGUGAGUAAUGUCUGGGAAACUGCCCGAUGGAGGGGGAUAACUACUGGAAACGGUAGCUAAUACCGCAUAACGUCGCAAGACCAAAGAGGGGGACCUUCGGGCCUCUUGCCAUCGGAUGUGCCCAGAUGGGAUUAGCUAGUAGGUGGGGUAACGGCUCACCUAGGCGACGAUCCCUAGCUGGUCUGAGAGGAUGACCAGCCACACUGGGACUGAGACACGGUCCAGACUCCUACGGGAGGCAGCAUG
rnacentral:rRNA from 1 species